AUUCCGUUAGCACAGAUUACGACUUUGUUUUGCAGCAUAACAAGAGGAGUAGCUUCUGUCGUCUGAGGGAGCCUUCUGAGAAUCAGCAGCGGGGUCCCUCGAGCCUAAGAAAGUGACACUUCUAUCCCGGCGCCACCCUGGACGCCUCUGCUCUUCUGGGGGCCUCUCGUCGACGACGGCGCUUUAUGAAACGUCACGUCGUUCCGGUUUUUCAAAAUGGCCGCGGUGUCGGCGGCAGUUCGCGUCCUGGGAGCUGCUCCUGCCUAUCGGGGGGCUCCGGUCUCCUUCACCUUUCCUUCGUAGGCUUGCUGGGCGGAGGCGCCCAAGAAUUCUGCGAUACUCCAAACUGGCCCUCGUUCGCAUUCAAAAUAAAUUAAAAAUGAAGCCAAGCAAGGUAUGUCAACGCGGUCUCUUACCGAGACUUAAAAUACGUUAUUUCGGAGGCCAAGUAUUAUUACGCAGGCUCCAAGAACAGGAAACACCUCGGCAAGGUAAGAUUUCGAGCCAGUUUAUGUGCUGGAAACAAGCUUCUGGGAUGCCAAGAACUCGCUCCGACAACAACGUUGGUUUCCACAAAGCUUCCCUACAGAGUCUGGGGGCCCUGCCAAACAUUGAAGGCUGCGUCCAUCCAUGGCUACAGAGUUUGUGCCCGGGGAGGUUGCCUAAGAUUAGGUGGAGGAAUCUUGUGCCCUGCAACCCUGACCUCUUACACCUGCAGCACCAGAUGACACAGCUCACAAUGUCUGAUAAUUCCUCUCUAAAUGAGCUGGGGGGGCAGGGAUGAGGGUAAAUGAAAGAUCCAUUGUGAAAGUGUUGGAUACACCCAGUUUUUCAAAAAUUAUAUGGAUGCUUUCCUGAGCCUAGUGACUUAAUGUUAAUAUUAGUCUAGCAUUAAAUAACAGACAAUCUACUGGAACGUUUUGUAACAUACUCAUAGGGGGUUUUGCAUUAAGUAAAAACAGACUCCAUCUGAAGGGAAGUAGUUUUCAUAUUAUACAUCUUUAGACAUCCAGCGUCACGGAGCUGUUUAGAGGAUACAACUUGGCAGGUUGCUGUAGGGAUUCUGGAGGAAUGAUGAUGUCAUCAAAGAACCCAAGUGAAACUACAAAAAAGAAGUUCAGAUUAAUAAAGAAGCAAGAUCGAUGCAAUGCGACUCCUAGAAUUUAAGCUUUCCCCAUGUCAUCACCUAGUGGCAUGUCCAAUAAGGAAUCUGAACCUAUGUCCAGCAUUCUUUCCGCUGUACUGUAAAUUUAAUAAAUGCAGAAUUGGAAUAUCCAUCAGGACAAUAAAGGAGAACAACUUUAAACCUCAAAUAUGUUUUUCCACCUUUCAUUCUAUAUUGACGUAUUUUUAUUUAUUUAUUUUUCAGAAAAGAAACUGAAGUUCAGUUCUUUUGGCAAUGUUUUGCUGCUAUUAAGGAGUGAUUCCAAACAUCUUAACCAUAGUAACUUCAAACUUUAUUAAUAGAACAGUCUUUCUUUUGAGACAUAUCUACUGGUUAUCUUGAUAUAAUAUUCCAGAAUUCUAGACACCCACUGUAGCCCUACCCAUAAUAUUCCUGUGAUUAUUUGGUGAAUUACUAGUAAAAGUUAAAAUUUACCC